CAGAGUGAGCAGUUUGGCUCCACCAAAAUCAUCUGCUAUGCUGUUUCUGCCUUCAAGCCAACCAACCAUGGACUAAAACCUCUGAAACUAUGAAAUCUCUCCUCCCUGUUACAGAUGUUGAGGAAGAAUUUCUUGAGAGAAAAAAAGCUUCUGUCUGAGAGGGAAAGAAGGGGACCCGGAAAGUAGUAGUCUGCCAACCCCGCUCCUCAAGGGUGUUUUAUUGAGUAAAGCCACGAGGUGAGCCUUUAAGAAUGUAUUUCUCCAGCCACCCACACUGCAGGUGGGACCAGCAGCCCUGCAGUGGGGAAGAAUCUGAAGGAGCAAUGAGAACGGAGACACUGUUUUCUGAGGGGUCACGCAGAGCAGCAGUUGGUGAUUCAGCUUCUUCACGCCUGCUUUGUGCAGUAUAAUGGCAAUCAGCUAUCCAAUGAACCUGAAAAACCUUCAAGACUUCUUUGCCACAUGGAGAACCAGCAUGCUACAUUAAAAGACAAGCCUCUGGAGGUUUUCAAAAGAGAAAAAGUGUGAACAUAAAGAACCAAAGUACUUACUGAAGGCCACCACUUCAUCACAUGUGUCUGCACUGAGAGUAUCAUUCUUAGUGGCUAAUUAGAUUGCUAAAGCUAAGAAGCCCUUUGCUGUUGGUGAAGCAUGGAUCCUGCCUGCUGUUAAUGACAUUGAUCACGAACUUUUGGGAGAGGCUGUAGUCUAAAAGGUAGCACACAUUCCUUGAUCAGCUAGCAACAUAACUAGAUGAAUGGGCAAAUUAGUAGGGGAUAUCAAGACACAGUUGUUAAAGAGGAUUCAUGAGUCACUGUGGUACGCAGCCCAGGUUGUUGAGUUUACCCACCUUGACAAAAAGGCAACAAUGCUUGUUUUUUUGUGAUAAAGUUUAUAGGAGGAUGUGCAUGUGUGUAUGUUACGUGCACUUUUGUUGCUAACCAAUACCACAGCUGCAGAACUGUUCAUAUCUUUGAAUGAUUACAAAUCAAGAGAGCUUAGUUGGUCAUUUUGUGUCAGUAUAUGCAU